AGGUUGAAAGGUUUAGCUACCGUUCGUGUUUUGGGUGUUGAUAGGCUAUAAAAGGUAAGUAACACUAACUUUAAUAAAUGAUAAUUUAUUUACUUGAAUGUAAUUAGACUUAUGAUCAUCCACAUGCAUCAUUUUAUGAUAUUAUUAGUUUAUAUGUAUCUGAAACACAAAUAUGUUGCAUUAUUGCAUAAUUAUUCUUAAUGCAUGAUGUUGGAUGACCCACUAGUUUUCUCAUGGUACAGAUAUGUUAUAUGUUAUGAUCAUGCAUGAUGUUAUGUGGUAAG
rnacentral:misc_RNA from 1 species